CCCAAAAGAGGAUAGCCGUCCGUAAGUCGAGCGGAGCGAAGCGUGCUUGCACCUUAGCUUAGCGGCGGACGGGUGAGUAAUGCUUAGGAAUCUGCCUAUUAGUGGGGGACAACGUUUCGAAAGGAACGCUAAUACCGCAUACGUCCUACGGGAGAAAGCAGGGGAUCUUCGGACCUUGUGCUAAUAGAUGAGCCUAAGUCGGAUUAGCUAGUUGGUGGGGUAAAGGCCUACCAAGGCGACGAUCUGUAGCGGGUCUGAGAGGAUGAUCCGCCACACUGGGACUGAGACACGGCCCAGACUCCUACGGGAGGCAGCAGUGGGGAAUAUUGGACAAUGGGCGAAAGCCUGAUCCAGCCAUGCCGCGUGUGUGAAGAAGGCCUUUUGGUUGUAAAGCACUUUAAGCGAGGAGGAGGAGCUUCAGGUUAAUACCCUGGAUGCUUGGACGUUACUCGCAGAAUAAGCACCGGCUAACUCUGUGCCAGCAGCCGCGGUAAUACAGAGGGUGCAAGCGUUAAUCGGAUUUACUGGGCGUAAAGCGUGCGUAGGCGGCUAAUUAAGUCAAAUGUGAAAUCCCCGAGCUUAACUUGGGAAUUGCAU
rnacentral:rRNA from 1 species